GACGAACGCUGGCGGCGUGCCUAAUACAUGCAAGUCGAACGCACGAAGUUGAAGAGCUUGCUCUUUAACCAAGUGAGUGGCGGACGGGUGAGUAACACGUGGGUAACCUGCCCAUUAGAGGGGGAUAACAUUCGGAAACGGAUGCUAAUACCGCAUAGUUUCAGGGAUCGCAUGAUCCUUGAAGGAAAGGUGGCUCCGGCUACCACUAAUGGAUGGACCCGCGGCGUAUUAGCUAGUUGGUGAGGUAAUGGCUCACCAAGGCAAUGAUACGUAGCCGACCUGAGAGGGUGAUCGGCCACACUGGGACUGAGACACGGCCCAGACUCCUACGGGAGGCAGCAGUAGGGAAUCUUCCGCAAUGGACGAAAGUCUGACGGAGCAACGCCGCGUGAGUGAAGAAGGUUUUCGGAUCGUAAAACUCUGUUGUUAAAGAAGAACAAGGAUGAGAGUAACUGCUCAUCCCCUGACGGUAUUUAACCAGAAAGCCACGGCUAACUACGUGCCAGCAGCCGCGGUAAUACGUAGGUGGCAAGCGUUGUCCGGAUUUAUUGGGCGUAAAGCGAGCGCAGGCGGUUCUUUAAGUCUGAUGUGAAAGCCCCCGGCUCAACCGGGGGAGGGUCAUUGGAAACUGGAGAACUUGAGUGCAGAAGAGGAGAGUGGGAAUUCCACGUGUAGCGGUGAAAUGCGUAGAUAUGUGGAGGAACACCAGUGGCGAAGGCGACUCUCUGGUCUGUAACUGACGCUGAGGCUCGAAAGCGUGGGGAGCAAACAGG
rnacentral:rRNA from 1 species